CUUAAAGGCAGUCCAACUGUUAAUUUGCAGUUACCAUUACCAUGAUUGAAUGCUUAAUUCAAUCUUUAAGUAGGCAUAGGACAUAAAUCUGGUAAAUUAAAGAUAAGUAACUGAAUAGGAUUAGAUAUUAAACAUAGGCCUAUCAGAUUUCCAUGUAAUUAUAUUAAAUAUUUUGUUUAUUUUGUUAACUUCUGUAGCAAUUAUUCUCAUUAGAAAACCACUUUAAACAAACAAACAAACAACAACAAACAAAAAAAAAAAACAUCUCCGCAUUGAACUUAAAGAAAUUAACUUUUAUCUGAUAGCUGUUCUUUAAGAAAGGUUCCACUAUACUGCCACACUGUGAAAAAACAACACGAACGGAUAUGAGUUAGUUUGAAAAUACAGCACUAAUUGCAAUAAGAAUACAAAUGUCAAAAUAUUUAUCAUAUGACGACCGACUACAACGUAAGUUACAAAGAAAAAAAAAUAAAACACGUUUGAUAACAUAGGCUAAUUAAAAAGUUCAGUUUGGUAUCAAGCAAUAACAGCGGUUUGGUGUAUAUAUAUAGCGUCUUUAAUAAAAGUUGUGACACAUAAAAACCUAUUUUUUACCAAGUAUAGAUCUACAUAAAAAUAUACUAUUUCCGAACACCGUAUCCGGUACAGGUACGGCACUGAAACUGAACAUCGGAUGGAAACCGAGUUGUUCCGAAUUGAGCGUUUGUUUACAAAUGGAUGACAUUCACGCGAAAUUACAUCCACAACAAUUCAAGCAGCGCACUGACAAAUUACUGACAAGAAAGACAACUGGCAGGUCAGCUCAAAGGCUACGCACUGACUGAAUCAAGGGCAAUCAUGAUAUAUCCAUGCGACACCAUACUGAUUCCGUAAAGGCGAGCAGGAAGCGCCGCAGAUGAAUUUGUCAUCUUUUUAAGACUUUUAUGUUUUAUAGAAACAGAUGUUACAUUAUGUAAAAUCUACAAUGAAAUGUCAAGAUAAAGUAAUCUGCAGGGCAAACCAGGAAUAUCUUCAUCCACUUUUGAUCAAGAAUCUGAUAGCGCCAUUAGCGGCUUUUUGAUAUAGGCAAAACCUGGUGACCACCAACUCUGUCUCUUGCAAAUUAUGAAAUGUCUACGUUCCCGCAAGGGGUUUGACAUCAACGGAAGAUAGAGAAGAACUUAAUUAUCAUGGUGCAGUGCAACCUAGCAGAAUCAGCCUGUCAUGUGAAUGGAUGAAAAAAAAAGACACUGGAGCCUGAAUGGGUGCUUCAAAUGGUCCUGUUACCAGAAUAUUUGGUCACAGUUAAAACAACUGAAUAAAAAUAUAAACUUUGAAGUCUAAGUGCAUGCUUGACAUAUUUUUUGGGCAAGUGGAAAAAGCUGACAGUUAUGAGCUACAUUUACAGUACAGAGUGUUCUAAAUUCUACAUAGGCCAGGAACAAAGUCUGCAAAGAUUUGAUUGUUACAAUAGUGCAGAAUGAGAUACUGAUAAUUAACUGGAUUAGUAUACAUGUCAGCAGUCAGUCAAAACUUCGAUGUCAGAAAUGCUUGAUAUCUAUGGAAAUCAGGUGUAUCGUAUCUGGCCUAAUAGGAAAUAAAGAGUUAAAUUAUUUUGAUUUUGGGCAAAGACUAAAAAAAAUUUUUGUUUCCGGUAAUAUGCUAAAAAAAUUAGGGUAGGCCUAGGACGGAAAAAAAAUAAAAAAAAUUUAUUAAGGGAAACUUUUCGGAAAUCAUUUUUGUGUCAAAAAAUGAAUACAAACAAGUUAUCAUAUAAUAAAUUCAGCUUAGCAACUUUUUAUUAAAAAGUUGAAAAAACUAUUCUCCAAGGCUAUAAAAACAUAAAGGGUCGGGCCAAAAAUUUAAGAUAGCUAGGUUGGAAUGUCGGAAACAAACAAUUUUUUACACCGUAUUGAGCCUAUAUCAGUAUUCUGAUUAUUUUGAAAACAAUGCCAAGAAAUUGGCAUUUGUCACAUUUGUGUGUGAUAAUGAAUCGUUUUACAUGCAGGGUUGGAAUAAUUAAGCUCGCAUACUUGCAAUGGGCAUGUGUCUUUUGCCCAAACUCGGUAUCACAAAAUUUUGCUUGUGCUAACUUAAAUGGAAUCGACAGCAUUUAUCAUUUCUUUGACUUUCUGUUUUGAUCUGCUGUAAAUAUGUAUUUAUUCAUGGUGCUUUACAUGAUACGCACAAUUGAUGAUGUUUUUACAUAGUGUGCGGCCUGGCAGGGGUGGCGAAAGCUGAUUUUGACUUGCUUGUCCGUUUUUGCCAAUUGCUAUUUUUAGCUCAACUAUUCGAAGAAUAGGGGAGCUAUCCUACUCGCCCUGGUGUGAGCGUCACACAAAUGUUGAAGUUAGCGUACCACCCCAAAUAUUUUCAAAGUCCAUUGAGAUACUGCUUUCAUAUUUUGCAUACUUGUUUACCAUCAUGACCCCAGUCUGUAAAAAGGAGGAGGCAACUCUAUCAAGCAUUUUGACUGAAUUAUGGCCCCUUUUCGACUUAGAAUAUGCUUAUUGUAAUGUUAAAGUUUUACUCAUUGCUUAUAUUAUACUAUCAAGCACUGAGAUUAGUCGAGCAUGCUGUCCACUGACAGCUCUUGUUUACUUGUCCGUAUGAUAGUUAUAAAUAUAGUAAAUUCUGGUCAAAUUUCAUUUGUCCGUACAAGCUUUGGGACAACCUGGGCAAUACGGACAAUUGAAUUUGCCACCCCUGCCUGGUUACAACAUGAUAUUUUAUUUGUGUCUGCUUGUGUAUUGUGGCAUAAGAGGGUAAGUAUGAAGUAUUUUCUACAAUUAUAUUGUGGAGUAAGUAAGUAUGAAGUGUGACUGCAGUUGUAUUGUAGAGUAAGUAUAUUAAAGAUAUAUUAAAGUAGAUCUAUGGUAAUUAUUAUGAAUACAUUGUCAUGAAGUAAGUAUGAAGUGCGUUCACAAUUGUGUCAUGGAGUACUUUUGAAGUACAACCACAUUUAUAUCAUAGAAUAAGUAUGAAAUAUGUCUAUACAGUAUGUUGUAUUGUGAAGUAUAAAGUAGUCUACAGAUGUAUGGUGUAGUAAGUAUGAAGUAUAUCUAUAGAUGUAUGAUAGAAUACGUAUGAAGUAUGUCUACAGAUGUAUCAUGGAGUAAGUAUGAAGUAUGUUUACAGAUGUAUGGUGGAAUACGUAUGAAGUAUGUCUAUAGAUGUAUCAUGGAGUAAGUAUGAGGUAUGUCUACAGAUGUGUCAUGGUGUAAAUAUGAAGUAUAUCUACAUAUGUAUCAUGGAGUAAGUAUGAGGUAUGUCUACAGAUGUGUCAUGGUGUAAAUAUGAAGUAUAUCUACAUAUGUAUCAUGGAGUAAGUAUGAGGUAUGUCUACAGAUGUGUCAUGGUGUAAAUAUAAAGUAUAUCUACAUAUGUAUCAUGGAGUAAGUAUGAAGUAUGUCUACAGAUGUAUGGUGGGAUAAGUAUGAAGUUUGACUAUAGUCGUAUUGUGUAGUAUUUAUAAAGUAUGAUAACAGAACUUUGUGUCAUGGAGUAAGUGGCAGUGUGAAAUAUGUCUAUGUAGCUAACUAGUUGAGUAUGCAUGAGGUAAACCAGCAGUAGUAUUUUGGAGUAAGUAUAAAGUACCUCCACAGUUUUAUACUUGAGUAAGUAUGAAGUAAUUCCAUAGCUGUGUCAUGGAGUAAAUAUGAAGUGCAUCUACAGUUGUGUCAUUGAGUAAGUAUAAAGUACACACACAACAGUGUCAUGGAUUUAGUAUAGAGUGCUUUCACAGUUGUAAUUUGUUGAUCAAGUAUGAAAAGUUAUAAUGAAUGUUUAAAGUUGUAUUAUGUAUAAUAUGGAAUAAGUAUGAAUUAUGUCCUCAAUUGUAUUGUGUAUCAAACAUUAGAUUUGUCUACAAGUUAUGUUAUGAAUUUUUUAUACUCACUAAAAAGCAUUUGAAUUCUAACCCUGACAUGCACAUUUAUAGUACAUAUAAGCUGUGGCUGUUUUACUGGUGGGCAUUAGUAUCAUGUAUAAAUUUGUUAAAGAUGAUAAAUUUUGCAGAUGAUCACUUUAUGUACUGUUAAUUCCUGAUUCAUCAAUGCCAUGAUUGAACAGCAAUUCACUAGUAAACGUUUCACUGCAUAUAGAAACAAGCAACUCUGCAGUCUUCUAAAUUUCUUUUGAAAAGUCAACUUUGAUCUUAAAGUUGUAUGAUAUUGUUUAGUAUUUUCCUUUUUGGGAUGGCUACCAAUUAUAUAAUCUUAAAAAAAGUCACAUUAUAUUUUGACCUUAUCAGUCUUGGCUUGAUUAAUCAUUAAAAGUGUUUUGAGAAGAAAAUGGAUAUAAUUACACAAAAUUUGAAUAGCUUAGGAGUUAAUAUCAGGGUCUGAACACAGACUAAUGUUUAUUUUUCUGUUUUAGAUAAAUUGUUCUUCAACAAACAAUAAUUACAUUUUGUUUUUGACAUAGCUUUACUGUUUAACCUUGUUAGAUAUUGUAUGUCACUAUAAACACACUUAUUAUUUUAAGAAUCCUUGUUAAAGAGAUUUGAGACAAACUGUUUAUAGUGUAAUAGUAACAUGAUAUCUACAGUCUGAUGUAUUACUAUACACCACAGGCAUUGGGUUAUAAUUACAUGUAUUGUCAAAAUAUAUCAUAUCAGAUUGUUUUUGUUUUUUUGUUAAUCUUGAGAAAUAUGCACAAGUUGUGCUGUAGAAAUAUUGCUUAACCUUUUUAGUGCAGCAUUACUAUGCAAAAAGAACAGAAACAAAGCAUAUUGUGAAGUCAAUGAUUCAGUUUUCAUCAAACAUAUUUAAGAAACAGUUUACUAAAUCUUCAAAGAUCAUUAAGUUGCAUUUCAAUACUAUUUUCAAAAGAAUGUAUUUUCUGUUGUGAAUAAGAAGUUGUUGAGAAUCUGUUUGUGAUUGCUUUCUUCUAUUUACUAAGGCUCCCGUGUUAACAUGUUUAAAUGAGUCCUUGUCAUGUUUGACUGGUAAAUGUUUACAAAAUUUCUAUCCAGUUAAGCAAAACGAUCAUCCUUAGAACAACCAUAUCUUUCUGAUUGAAACACGUUUUCUGUCUGUUAAAGAUAUUAGAUUUGUCUUUUGCAGUAAACAGGGAGUUGCCAUGUUUGCCCAUUUUUUUCAGUUCAAAAAUUGAUUAAUUUAAAAAAUAGAUUGCUCCAUUUUGAAAUACAUUUGCAUCAAACAAUAGGGACAAUGUUCCUGGAUUAUUUUCUUUUAGCUCACCUGAGCCAAUGGCUCAGGGUGACCUUUUGUGACCGCUCAAUGCCUGUUGUGCAUUGUGUGUCAACAAUUUCUAAAAAAUCUUUCUGAAAACCAUUGGGCAGAUUUACACCAAACUUCACAGGAAUGAUCCUUUCAGGCAGGAACAUUUUUAAAGUUUUUCCCUUAUACUUUAGCCUGUAGCAUCCUUUAUUUAUUGAUUGACCUGUCCCAUUUUUAGCUCACCUGUCACAUAGUGACAAGGUGAGCUUUUGUGAUCAUCCGUCGUCUGUCCGUCUGUCAACAAUUUCUUGUCUGCACGAUAGUGGUUUCAUUUAUGAUUUUAUUUUAACCAAACUUGCACACAACUUGUAUCACCAUAAGAUCACGGUUCCUUUCUUGAACUGGCCAGAUCCCUUUAUGGGUUCCAGAGUUAUGGCCCCUGAAAUGGCCAAAAUUAGCUAUUUUGACCUUGUCUGCACAAGAGCAGCUUUAUUUAUGAUCUGAUUUUUACCAAACUGGCACACAACUUGUAUCACCAUAAGAUCUUGGUUCCUUUCUUGAACUGGCCGGAUUCCAUUAUGGGUUCCAGAGUUAUGGCCCCUGAAAGGGCCAGAAUUAGCUAUUUUGACCUUGUCUGCACAAUAGCAGCUUCAUUUAUGAUUUUAUUUUAACCAAACUGGCAAACAACUUGUAUCACCAUAAGAUCUCGGUUCCUUUCUUGAACUGGCGAGAUUCCAUUAUGGGUUCCAGAGUGAUGGCCCCUGAAAGGGCCAGAACUAGCUAUUUUGACCUUGUCUGCACAAUAGCAGCUUCAUUUAUGAUUUAAAUUGUAUCAAACUUGCACAAAACUCGUGUCACCAUAAGAUCACGGUUCCUUUCUUGAACCGGCCAGAUCCCAUAAUGGGUUCCAGAGUUAUGGCCCCUGAAAGGGCCAAAAUUAGCUAUUUUGACCUUGUCUGCACAAUAGCAGCUUCAUUUAUUAUUUGAGUUUAACCAAACUUGCACACAACUUGUAUCACCACAAGAUCUUGCUUUCUUUAUUCAACUGGCCAGAUUCCAUCAUGGGUUCCAGAGUUAUGGCCCCUUAAAGGUCCAAAAUUGGCUAUUUUGGCUUUUGCAGCCAUAUAGAGACUUCAUUUAUGGUUUUAUUUGAUACAAACUUCCAAAAUAUCUUCAACAACAAUAAAUCUUGGAUUCCAUGACAAAUCAGAUCCAGUCAUAGAUUCCAGAGUUAUUUUAUAUCUGAUUACCUCCCCUGAUUGUAAUCAAAAUGGAUUUAUAUCAGUAAGUACUUACAGGACUUAUUUGAAAUUUCAUUAUUGUUAUAUUAGUUGGACUGAGACAAUCAGGGUAGAUAACUAUGGACUGAUUUUAUGUCAAAUUACCUCCCUUUAUUUCACAUUAAAAUUGUUAUAUCUCCAUAACUAAUAAAGAUACUGAUCUGAAAUUUCAUUUAUGUCAACAGAUUUAUUUAGCAGAUCCUUCUUUUGUCCACUUACAAUAUUUAUUUUUUUUAAUUACUUCCCUUUUACGUUACUAUAAAUAGCUUAUUUUUAGUAACUUUUUUUAUUAUUGACCGUAGGGAAAACACGAGACCAGUUUUCUGUGGUACAACAUGGAUGGUACCUCCAAUUUUUAGGUGUAUUUUAACAUAUCUAUACCUUGUAAGAUUUUUUUUUCUUUUUGGUUAAAUUUCUUCCCUUUGUUGUUCCUUUCCUUUGGACUUAGAUAUUUUUUCUGAGGACCUUCUUGUCCUCAAGUGCAAUGAUAACAGGUGAGCGAUAUAGGGCCAUCAUGGCCCUCUUGUUUAGCUUGACUGUUCAGAAUGUAGGUAGAGUUAUUUGACUUAAGAUAGUUAUACAUGUUUGAUAAAAUAAAGCCUGAAUUUGACGUACAGAAAUGAAAGUCAUUUUUAGCUCCACUAUUUGGAGAAUAGGGGGACUAUUCUACUCGCCCCGGCGUUGGUGCGGCUUACCUUUCUUGGUUAAAGUUUUUUGUCAACCUUCGUUUUUCUGUCAUAUCUUUGUUACUAUUGCUUAUAUCUUACUGUAACUUCACAUAAACAUUUUCCAGUAUACAAUCAAAGUAUGUGUAGGGGCUGAGACCAUUAUACCCAAGGUCAAUGUCACCAAGGUGUUAUACUUGGGUUAUUUUUAAGGUUAAAGUUUUUUGGCAGGAAGAAGGAAGGGUAUAUUGUUUUGCAGAUGUCGGUCGGUCGGUAUGUAGACCAAUCCGUUUCCGGAUGAUAACUCAAGAACACUUGGGCGUAGGAUCAUGAAAGUUGAUAUGGUGGUUGGUCAUAACCAGCAGAUGACCCCUAUUGAUUUUGAGGUCAAAGGUCGAGGUCACAGUGACCAGGAACAGUUCAAUGUUUUCUGGAUGCUUUGGCCUAGGUUCAUAAAGUUGGUGGUUGAUCAUAACCAGCAUAUGACCCCUAAAGAUUUUGAGAUCAAUAGGUCAAAGGCCAAGGUCAGAGUGACCCAGAACAGUUAAAUGGUUUCAGGAUGAUAACUUGAGAACAAUUUGGUCUAGGAUCAUGAAAAUUGAUAGGGAGGUUGAUCAUGACCAGCAGAUGGCACCUAUAGAUUUUGAGGUCAUUAGGUCAAUGGUCAAGGUCACAGUGACCAGGAACAGUUAAAAUGUGUAUGGAUAAAAACUUGAGAAUGCUUGGGCCUAUGAUCACGAAACUUAAUAGGGAGGUUUGUCUUGACCAGCAGAUGACCCUUAUUGAUUUUGAGGUCAAAGGUCAAGGUCACCUUGACCAAGAACAGUAGAACUUUUAAGCUCAGUGACAAAAUAAUUUCUGUCCCUUGUGCAAUUACUGAAUGCAUCAAGGGGGCAUUUCGUGUUCUACGAGCUCUUGUUCUCUCAUAUCUUUGUUAAUAUUGCUUAUAUCUUACUGUUACUUCACAUAAACAUUGUCCAGUAUAAAAACAAAGUAUGUGUAGGGGCUGAGUUUGUUAUUCCCAAGUUCAAGGUCACCAAUGUGUUAUACUAAGGUUAUCUUUAAUGUUAAAGUUUUUUGGCAACAUUUGUUUUUCUGUCAUAUCUUUGUUGCGGUUGCUUAUAUCUUACUGUAACUUUACAUAAACAUGAUUAUCCAGCAUACAAACAAAGUAUGUACAGGGGCUGGGCCCAUUAUAUCCAAGGUCAAGGUCAUCAAGGUGUUAUAUUUAGGUUAUUUUAAAUGUUAAAGUUUUUUGGCAACCUUUGUUUUUCUGUCAUAUCUUUGUUAUUAUUGCUUAUAUCUUACUGUAAGUUCACAUAAAGCAUUGUCCAGCAUACAGACAAAGUAUGUGCAAGGACUGGGCCCAUUAUACCAAAGGUCAAGGUCACAAAGUUGUUAUACUUGGAAUUAUUUUCAUGUUAAUUUUUUUCGAAAGCUUCGUUUAUAGACAUAUCUUUGGUACUUUAAAAGAUGACUUGAAAUUAAAAGCUGUAAUUUAUAAUCAUCAUCAUCUGCAUGUGUGGUAACAAUCCCUGUAACUCUUGAUUUGUAUUUUUGACCAAAUUAUGCCCCUUUCAUACUUAAAUUUUUAUCUGUACCUCUCUCAUUAUUUGAUAUUUUUUUAACACAGACUCAUGCUAUUGUGCAAUAUUCAUCCACAGUUCUAGUUGGUCUUGUCAGUAACUUUACUAUAUUCAAGUAACUUGCCACAGUCACCAUAACAAAUUAAUUUGUUGCAUGUAAGAUUCAGACCUCUAACUCAAGAUUAAGGUCACCUUUAGAGAUGAAACAUCUUGGUAUUUUUUUAUCUGGUCUGUUACUUUUUUAUGCAUUGGUGUAUAUCUAAAUAACUUUGCAUACAUAAUAACCAUUACAAGACAUUGUGUCAUGUACAAAGGUCACAGACACUUAAGUUACCUUUUUUGUGUACAUGAAAUUUCUUCUCUUUUAUAUGAUAAAAGUACAAUACAUGUGCUUUAUGUCAGUUUUCCCACUAAUUUAAAAAUGAAAUUAUGUUUAUAAUUAUUAAAUAAGGUGAUUGUAAUGAUACAUGUAGAUAUAAAAAGCUAUUGAUAAUUGUAGAAAUCCAGAAUGCAAAACCCAAACACAGGAUAUAACUUUAUGGUAUAUAUAGGUAAAUAGAGAAUUACUUUAGUUGCAAUACAUUUAUAAUAGGUUGAUAUGUAGUGCAGCUCUGCAUUGAAAAAUAGUAGAAUUAACUUUUUUUCUGGUGUGUUAUUUAAAACCAAAGUUUUGUAGUACUAGCAUGAAAAUGUCAUGCAUUUCAUUUAUUUGCUCACUUGAGCCAAAGGCUCAGAGUGAGCUAUUGUGAUUGCUCACUGUUCGGUGUCAGUCCACACUUUCCAUUAAACAACAUCUCCUAAACCACCAUGCUAAUUUUGAUGAAACUUCACAGGGAUGGUCCUUGGAUGAUCUUCUUCAAAAAAUUGUUCAAAGAAUUGAAUUCCGUAUAGAACUCUGGUUGCCACGGCAACCGAAAGGAAAAACUUUAAAAAUCUUCUUGUCUAAACCACAAGGCCUAGGGCUUUGAUAUUUGGUAUGUAGCAUCAUCUAGUGGCCUCUUCCAAGAUUGUUCAAAUUACCCCCCUAAGGUCAAAUAUGGCCCCGCCCCGGGGGUCACAUGGUUUAUAUAGACUUAUAUAGGGAAAACUUUGAAAAUCAUCUUGUUCAAAACUAUCAGACCUAGGGCUUUGAUAUUUAGUAUGUAGCAUCAUCUUAUUCUAGUGGCCCUCUACCAAGAUUGUUCAAAUUAUCACCCUAGGAUAUAAUAUGGCCCCGCCUUGGGGUGGGGGUGGGGGUCACAUUAUUUCUAUAGACUUAUAUAGGGAAAAACUUUGAAAAUCUUCUAGUCAAAAACAAAAGGGCCUAGGCCUUUGAUAUUUGGUGUGUAGCAUCAUAUAGUUGGCCUUUAAAAAGAUUGUUUAAAUAAUUCCCCUAGGAUGAAAUAUGGCCCCGCCCAGGGGGUCACAUGGUUUUGUAUAGACUUGUAUAGGAAAAAAACUUUUUGUCUGAAACCACAACACCUAGGCUUUAGAUAUUUAGUAUGAAGAAUUGCCUUGUGGUCCUCUACCAAGAUUGUUCAAAUUAUUCCCCUGGGGUGAAAAAAGGCCCUGCCACGGCAUUCCCUAGUUUUACAUAGACAUAUAUAGGAAUUUUUUUUUUUAAUCUUCUUGUCUGAAAGUUCAAGGCCUAUGCCUUUGAUAUUUUGUUUGUAUCAUUACCUAGUUGAUCUCUAACAAGAUUGUUUGAAAUAUGCCCCAUGGGUGAAAAGAGGCCCCGCCCCAGGGGUCUAUUGAUAUAUGAGUUAUAUAGGAAAAAAUACUUCAAAAAUUAUCAGAUUAUAUUUCCUAGACUGUUUGAUUAUAUUUACCAGAUGACCCCAACUGAUAACACCCGACUGUAACCUUGACCUACUGACCUACUCUUGUUUUUAGCUCACCUGAGCACAAAGUGCUCGGGGUGAGCUAUUGUGAUCGCUCACCGUCCGGCGUCCGUCCAUCCACACUUUCCUUUAAACAUCUCCUCCUAAACCAACAGGCCAAUUUUGAUGAAACUUCACAGGGAUGUUCCUUGGAUGGUCUUCUUUAAAAAUUUUUCAAAGAAUUGAAUUCCAUGCAGAACUCUGGUUGCCAUGUCAACCGAAAGGAAAAACUUUAAAAAUCUUCUUCUCAAAAACUAGAAGCCCUAGAGCUUAGAUAUUUGGUGUGAAGCAUUGCCUAGUGGACCUCUACCAAAUUUAUUCAAAUUAUGACCCCGGGUUCAAAAUUGACCCCGCCCCAGGGGUCACUUGAUUUUACAUAGGAAAAUCUUAAAAAAUCUUCUUCUCAAAAACCAGAAGGUCUAGAGCUUACACAUUUGACAUGUAGCAUUGACUAGUGGACCUCUACUAAAGUUGUUCAGAUCAUGACCCUGGGGUUAAAAUUGACCCCGCCCCAGGGGUCACUUGAUUUUACAUAGGAAAAUUUUCUAAAAAUAAACCAGAAGGCCUAGAGCUUAGAUAUUUCACAUGUAGCAUUGCCUAGUGGACCUCUACAAAAUUUAUUCAAAUCAUGAUCCCCGGGGUCAAAAUUGACCCCGCCCCAGGUUCACUUGAUUUUACAUAGAAAAAUCUUCAAAAAUUUUCUAAAAAUAAAGCAGAAGGCCUAGAUCUUAGAUAUUUGACAUGUAGCAUUGCCUAGUAGAUUUCUACAAAAUUUGUUCAAAUCAUGACCUUUGGGAUCAAAUUGACCCCACAUAUUUCACAUGUAGCAUUGCCUAGUGGACCUCUAUAAACUGUGUUCAAAUCAUGACCCCCGGGGUCAAAAUUGACCCCACCCCAGGGGUUACUUGAUUGUACAUAGGAAAAUCUUCAAAUUUUUUCUAAAAAUAAACCAGAAGGCCUAGAUCUUAGAUAUUUGACAUGUAGCAUUGCCUAGUAGACUUCUACAAAAUUUAUUCAAAUCAUGACCCCCAGGGUCAAAUUGACCCCGUCCCAUGGGGUUACAUGAUUGUACAUAGAAAAAUCUUCAAAAUUUUCUAAAAAUAAACCAGAAGGGCUAGAGCUUAGAUAUUUGACAUGUAGCAUUGCCUAGUGGACCUCUACAAAAGUUGUUCAAAUCUUGACCCCUUAGGGUCAAAUUGACCCAGCCCCAGGGGUUACUUGAUUGUACAUAGGGAAAUCUUCAUAAAUUUGCUAAAAAUAAACCAGAAGGCUUAGAUACUUGAUAUGUAACAUUGCCUAGUAGACUUCUACAAACUUUGUUCAAAUCAUGACCCCCGGGGUAAAGUUGGUCCCGCCCAGGGGUUACUUGAUUGUACAUCGGAAAAUCUUCCCAAAAAAUUAUAAAAAUCAUCAGUUUGACAUUUGAAACAUGUAGCUCAUAUUACUCAGGUGAGCGAUCCAGGGUCAUCAUGACCCUCUUGUUAAAGAUACAGACUUAAAAUUUGGAUGACAUGUAUAAUUUUGCACACUUAUCUUAAAACUGACUUUCAGUGAACAUGAAUAUAACCUACUGACCUACUUUUUUUUGUUUUUGAUGCUUUAGCAAAGAAAUUUGUUUAAGGAAGCAACUUAACUUAACUUAGGUGAGCGCGAUAUAGGGCCAUCAUGACCCUCUUGUUUAUUAAUUACCUCCCUUUAAUAUGAUAAACUAUUUUAUUAUAUUUGUAUUUAUUUUUCCAUGCCAGUUUAAGAAUAAAAUCACAUUAAAUCUUAAAAUAAAAAAAAUAAAAAUUUGAAAGCAUUCACCAGACAUUUUUCAAACUACAUGUACAUAAUGUUUUAUGAAUUAUAUGAUACAUAGUAAUGAUUUAUAUACAUUUUUAGUAUGUUGCCCUAUAAAAUAGAAGAAGAUGUAGUAUGUUUUGUGAAAAACGUCCCUUGUUGGGGGACGUUGGUAACUCUGUUACAAAAUUUCGUUUUACAUUAGUAUUGAGGACACAUGUUAUGCUGUUAUGUUAUAAUAAGGCCAGAGUUUUUUAAUAACUUGGGUUACGGGAGAUUUUCCAAAAAUGAGCAUAAGGAGGAGGGAAUAAAAAUAAAAAUAAAGUAGGAAAAUGUUAGCAUCGGAAAAAAAAAUAAAAAUAAAAUGAAAAAAAACACAAAAAAUUUUAUUUUGUAAAAUGUGCCACUGGGUUAAAAAAAUUGUUGUUUCAGGCAAAUGUAGAUUCACAACACAGUCUAGAUAAAUCAGACAAGUUAUUUUCCCAAUUUGAAGCAUUUUAUUCCCACUUUCUUUAUUAAAGCCUCCAUGUUGUAUGUUAUAAUAUUAUGUUGUAGAAACUAUUAAUACUUGAAAUUUUUUGCAUGUUGCUUGCCUGCUUUAAACAUAUAUAUAGCUUGCUAAUAAAUAGAGACUAAACAGGCCUGACAUUGUAUUCUGUUUCUGGUGUUGGUGUGAUUAUAUAUAGUAUAGUGUAGUAUUGUUGUCACACCCUAUGCAUAUUGUGUUUCUGACCUUUUAACCCUUAGCACGCUAAGUUUCUAAAAUGGACAGGUCCAUCAUUCAAUUUGGGCAAUACCAUUUAUCAUUCGAAGGGGUGUUCACUCAAAAUGUACUGACUGAAUAGCGAACAGUGCAGACCAUGAUCAGUCUGCACGGAUGUGCAGGCUGAUCUAGGUCUGCUCUGGUCGCAAAGGCAAAACUAAUCGGUUGUACCAUUGUAAGGGUUAAGGAAGAUGGAAAUAACUUUUCACUUUUUUCUUUUAUGAUUUCUCCAUUUUUCAUUUAUGCUCCGACAUGGGCCAUUUUUUACUAUACAUGCCAGACAGUCCCAAGCCUGUUUAGUGUGAUGGGUCUCUUAAAAGUUACUGAACUCCAUAUCUGGCUACAACUUUGAAAGUAAUUUGAGGUAGACUUUAAGAUUUAAAUUGCGAAUUUUAAAAACAAUCAGCAAAGGUACUACGUUCAAACUAACUUACAUAUUUUCACUUUGUACAGUUACCUUCAAUACCAUCAUCAUCAUAAUCAUUACUAUCAUCACCAUACUAAUUGGUUCAGAACAGUGCAUAAAGUAAUAGAAUUUAGAGAAAAGGACCACUAGAUUGAUUAGAAAACAUCUUAUUUAACAAAAAAUAUUUUAUUGUUUUUUAAAUUUAUAGCAACAGUCAGCAUUUUAUUAAAAUCUCCAGACUUACUGUUGUUCAGCUACAAAACGAAAAUCCACUUUAAAAAAUCUGAAGUACAUUUUACUUGGAGUAGAAUUAUGUCAAAUUACGUCAUUCACCUUGCAAUACCCAGCCAGUUAACUUUUAUCCCACAUCAAAGAAAAUCAAUAAAGGAAAAUUUUGCCGACACUCCUUUUGAUGUCAGCUGCCAUGUGCUGGUCGAAAUGUGUCAAAGAUAUCAGUUUUUAAUAGGUCAGGAGACAAAUUGAGUGUUUGUUUUUCUUCUAAAAAUACUGUAAAAGGAUUUAUCAUUGAUGAAAAUCCAAAGUAAGUAGCAAAUUUAUUACCGGUCGGAAAAAAUGUAUUAAUUUAAACUGGAUGUGAAAUGUCAUUUGCUAAAAUAUAGUUACUUGCUGACGCUUUUGUGCUGAAAUUAUCGAUAUAUUUUCCACAAUUAAGUUACUUUGUCUUCCGACUUAGGAGCUUGUUUCACCAAUUUAAUCCAAGCCUUUUGUUGUCUGCAAUUAACGCCUUCUAAACAUGUCAGCUGAUCUGGAUAACAGUUUAUAUUUACGGACGUUCUCUAUCAGACACGAUACUUUCACACUGUCACACACUUCAAACACUGCCGGCAAUUAGUUACGGGGCGGAGCUAGUCACGUCAUUCUAGUAAAGUUACGUCACGGUGUCCUUUGAGAAUAUCGGAAGUCCAUUGCACGCGCUGUGAUAUUUAUUGUAGGUUAAUAGACACUGUUUUAUUUUCCAUCACGGAAAGUAGAUGCAAGCGUCGGGGAAAAUAAAAAUAAAAUCGCAAUUUUGAAUUUUAUUUUUAUUUGGAUUUUGGAGAAUUAGGACCCGGCGCUCCCGUAACCCAAGUUAUUAAAAAACUCUGGCCUAACUUAUUCUGUAGAUACUUGUUUAUUUUGUACUUUCUUUUGUGUGUUACUCGGAGUUUCUUUUCUUGAAUUGUUCCAUAUUUCUGUAAAACUUUAAUUCACAUGCUUUCUGUGUAAAACUUUGUUACUUAAUGUAAUUAUAAUACAUAAAUUGUACCUAAAUGUAAUUGUUAAACAUACUCAUUAUUGAAUGUAAACAAAUCACAAUGGUUUCGUUUGUAAAGAAAAAUCAAAAUAAAGACGGAAAUAUCAA